CAGAAGAUGAGCGAACGUCAUCAGGAGUCUUCUUUCACUGCUCCUGGCAAGUCGCCUGGCCAGUCAGCAGUCACUAUGCGUUUGACAGGUGCAGGCGCUGUUGAACAGAGCGAACAGCGAACAAAUACAUUCAGGGGCCUCACCCUACUCUGCCUAAACCGGGCGUCACCCUACUCUGCCUAAACCCACGGUCUCUGUCUCACCUACAAGAAUGAAAAUGUACAGCGUUUAACACAGAGAAGACAAGUAGUGGCUCUAUAGCAUUUUACUACGCUGAUGGACAGUGACUGUAAUGGGGUACGUGGGAGGGAC